GACGAACGCUGGCGGCGUGCCUAAUACAUGCAAGUUGAGCGCUGAAGGUUGGUACUUGUACCAACUGGAUGAGCAGCGAACGGGUGAGUAACGCGUGGGGAAUCUGCCUUUGAGCGGGGGACAACAUUUGGAAACGAAUGCUAAUACCGCAUAAAAACUUUAAACACAAGUUUUAAGUUUGAAAGAUGCAAUUGCAUCACUCAAAGAUGAUCCCGCGUUGUAUUAGCUAGUUGGUGAGGUAAAGGCUCACCAAGGCGAUGAUACAUAGCCGACCUGAGAGGGUGAUCGGCCACAUUGGGACUGAGACACGGCCAAAACUCCUACGGGAGGCAGCAGUAGGGAAUCUUCGGCAAUGGACGAAAGUCUGACCGAGCAACGCCGCGUGAGUGAAGAAGGUUUUCGGAUCGUAAAACUCUGUUGGUAGAGAAGAACGUUGGUGAGAGUGGAAAGCUCAUCAAGUGACGGUAACUACCCAGAAAGGGACGGCUAACUACGUGCCAGCAGCCGCCGUAA
rnacentral:rRNA from 1 species